rnacentral:rRNA from 1 species
GAAAGCCUGACGGAGCAACGCCGCGUGAGGGAUGAAGGCCUUUGGGCUGUAAACCUCUUUUCUCAAGGAAGAAGAUCUGACGGUACUUGAGGAAUAAGCCACGGCUAAUUCCGUGCCAGCAGCCGCGGUAAUACGGGAGUGGCAAGCGUUAUCCGGAAUUAUUGGGCGUAAAGCGUCCGCAGGCGGCCGUUUAAGUCUGUUGUUAAAUCGUGGAGCUCAACUCCAUCACGGCAAUGGAAACUGUUCGGCUUGAGUAUGGUAGGGGCAGAGGGAAUUUCCGGUGUAGCGGUGAAAUGCGUAGAUAUCGGGAAGAACACCAGUGGCAAAAGCGCUCUGCUGGGCCAUUACUGACGCUCAUGGACGAAAGCCAGGGGAGCGAAAGGGAUUAGAUACCCCUGUAGUCCUGGCCGUAAACGAUGAACACUAGAUGUUGGGGGAAUCGACCCCCUCGGUGUCGUAGCUAACGCGUUAAGUGUUCCGCCUGGGGAGUACGCACGCAAGUGUGAAACUCAAAGGAAUUGACGGGGGCCCGCACAAGCGGUGGAGUAUGUGGUUUAAUUCGAUGCAACGCGAAGAACCUACCAAGGCUUGACAUCCUGUGAAUCUCUAAGAAAUUAGAGAGUGCCUUCGGGAACGCAGUGACAGGUGGUGCAUGGCUGUCGUCAGCUCGUGUCGUGAGAUGUUGGGUUAAGUCCCGCAACGAGCGCAACCCAUGUUUUUAGUUGCCAGCAUUCAGUUGGGCACUCUAGAAAGACUGCCGGUGACAAACCGGAGGAAGGUGUGGACGACGUCAAGUCAUCAUGCCCCUUACGCCUUGGGCUACACACGUACUACAAUGCUGCGGACAAAGAGUAGCGAUCUUGCGAAAGUUAGCUAAUCUCGUAAACCGCGGCUCAGUUCAGAUCGUAGGCUGCAACUCGCCUACGUGAAGGAGGAAUCGCUAGUAAUCGCAGGUCAGCAUACUGCGGUGAAUACGUUCCCGGGCCUUGUACACACCGCCCGUCACACCAUGGAAGUUGGCC